rnacentral:lncRNA from 1 species
CUUUGAGCCAUAUGUGCAAGACUGUACACAUUUCCACACCUAAACCAAAAGCAAAAAAUGCAGGUUUUCUUUUAGGCCAUAGGGCUAAGAACCAUUUGCCUUCAAUGUUAAAAACAUCCUUCUUUGUUUGGCAUAUCUGGAUAAGGUAGCUUAAAUUUUCAUGUACUACUUAAUUCAAGCAAUAACUUCUAACUCAUUUUCUUCUUUUAGCUCUUUGGGCCUUGGUGAUUGGCACGAUCUCGGAGAACAGACAGGUAUAUAGCAAAACUCUCCUAGAAACCUGGAAAAUGUGGGGAGGAAAAGGCAUGGAACCUUCUCUGUAUAAGCCUAUGAGAGAAAAGGAAUCACUUCAAUUUACAAGGAAAGAAACUGAGACUAAAGAGCUAUCCAAGACCAUAUAGCCAGCUGACCCAGCAUAUUCUGAGCUGAGUCUAUGUUCUUUCUAAGACUUAAUACUACCUUUCUCAGAGUCUAUCAACCUAAAAAUCAUGUUUAAAGAAGUGAUCUAUGGUAUCACCAUUUGUACCAAAAUGAUAUCACACACCCUGUGUGAUAUCUUCCUAACAAAUCUAUCUUUGCCCAAGAGGGAGUUCUAAUAUUACUCAUCAAUAACCCUGGCUUUGUAACAUCUGAAUUUUUUUUGUUUUACCUUCUCAGUUUUAUUAAACUGAGAUCAAAAUAAACCUCAUUUUUUUUACCAGUUUAUAAUCAUUUUAUUAUGAACCUGCAGUAGGGCUUAUUAUUUACAAAUCACUAAGUGAAAUUUUUAAAAACCAUUUUCUUCCUCUAAUCUCUCCCAUCCUGCUUUCUUAGAAGUACACAAAGCAUUUCAACCACUCCCAAAUUCCCUCUUGAUACCCUUAAUGAUUCUGAAAUAUUUUGUU